UACGAAGGGUGCAAGCGUUACUCGGAAUUACUGGGCGUAAAGGGUGCGUAGGUGGUCGUUUAAGUCCGUUGUGAAAUCCCUGGGCUCAACCUGGGAAUGGCAGUGGAUACUGGACGGCUAGAAUGCGGUAGAGGGUAGUGGAAUUCCCGGUGUAGCAGUGAAAUGCGUAGAGAUCGGGAGGAACACCAGUGGCGAAGGCGGCUACCUGGACCAUAACUGACGCUGAGACACGAAAGCGUGGGUAGCAAACAGG
rnacentral:rRNA from 1 species